rnacentral:lncRNA from 1 species
GAGCUCUGUGGGCCCCAGGUGCCCCGGGAAAACUUGGGGGAGAAUGGGCAUCCCACCCCAGCACUUUCUAGGAAGAAGGGCAGCAUUUUGAAGGGCUGGAAGUAGAGGAAGGAGGUUGCGGGUAGAAGACUCCAUACUUUCUGUGACGCCUAUUCCUUAGUCAGAGGCAUGGCUUGCCUGGGCCUCUGGGUGCAGCUGCACAGAUUCAAGCAGCCUGAAGGAAAGGUGACUGACAGCUAAUGAUCUGAAAAGAACUUGUCUCAACUCAACGUCAUUCCUGGCAUUAUCGAACAAAGCAAUAAACCUCACAGAAUGGAAGCUACAGUGUCCAGGGCCAGCUCUGCUAAGGUAACCAAAGACAGAGAAGGAGGCAAAAGUGACAGAAGAAACUCAUGGGAAACCAACAGAAAUAUAAUGGCUUUGGCAGAAAUGCAAUUAUCAAUUGGGAGGAGAGCCUUUAUAUAACCAAAGAUAUUUUUGGACCAUGAAUUCAGAAAUUCUCGGAGCCACCCAUCAGUGCCUGAGCUUCAGUGAGUCCAUAUCCCAUGUCACCCACGGCAAAGGAGACUCUAAGACUUCUGAAGAGUUUCUUGCUUCUUUCCUGUGGGGCAGUGACUCCACUUCCCAGCAGUAAUGGAAUAUCCUGAAUUAGCUACAUUAAUGUUAGAACCAUUUGGACCUCACCCAGGACUUCAACUACAUUAUGCUAAAGUUACAGAACCCAAAUUUGGCAACUGUCUGCAUCU